UUUAAGUAUAUUUCUAUUAUUGUGUACAAUCAUAGAUCUCAUUUUGCCCUUUAAGCAGGAAGGAAUCUCACUCUGCGUCACACAAUGAUAUGCAAAUAGGAUGAAGUGGUUCUGAAGAAAAACCUUUCCAUCUUGGACUACCCAGUAAACGGCCUUGAAACUACUAACAAGUCUAAUCAGCAUUCGAUCGACCCAUCUUAAAACAUCUGGACCAUCAUCACUUUCUGCUCUGAA